rnacentral:lncRNA from 1 species
CUUAAACUAUUACAAGAAAGUGGAAGUGACUUCGAACCUAAACCUUCCAAUUCAACACUUCCCAGCUGAAGUUGCAUCUGACACUUGAUAUCCCCCAUUUGUUUCUCAUAUUUUCGAGCUCGAGACUGAAGCAUGUGGAGUUUCAAUUCAAUCAAUUUGCAUCGCUGCCUAAGAGGUUGUACAAAGUCUCUCCAAUGAGGGGUCACCUUUUUCCUCCUAAAGGAAUAUAACAAGGUAAAUGUUAAGGUUUUUACAGAUAUUAUCCUACUCUGGAAAGGCACAAAACACCACAAAAAGAUGGAGUUUCAAUUCAAUCAACUUGCAUCGCUGCCUAAGAGGUUGUACAAAGUCUCUCCAAUGAGGGGUCACCUUUUUCCUCCUAAAGGACAAUAACAAGGUAAAUGUUAAGGUUUUUACAGA